rnacentral:rRNA from 1 species
GACAGAGGGUGCAAACGUUUGUUCGGAAUUACUGGGCGUAAAGCGCGUGUAGGCGGCAGCGCAAGUCGGAUGUGAAAUCCCAUGGCUCAACCAUGGAAGUGCACCCGAAACUGCGUCGCUAGAGUCCUGGAGAGGAAGGUGGAAUGCUUGGUGUAGAGGUGAAAUUCGUAGAUAUCAAGCGGAACACCCGUGGCGAAGGCGGUUCUCUGGGACGGUACUGGACGCUGAGACGCGAAAGCGUGGGGAGCGAACAGG